CUUGUAGUUUACCUAUUCCAGUGAAGGGCAAGAUAGAGACUUUAAAUCAAGCAUUAGAUAUCUUUGGGAUGAAUGUGAUUGUGGAAGCAAGUUUUUUGUUAUGACCAAGCAAAAAUAACAUCACAUAUCAAGGAUCGUGAUCUCCGAUCCAGAAAUUUUGCCAACCAGUUAGAAGCGGCUACCUUGGAACAAAUAGUUCUAAUUCCGUAUAAUACUGGGUAAAUAAAUAAGAUUAACACAUUAUUAUGUUUUUCAUUGAGGUUAAAUGUAUACUCACAUUGAAGAUGUUUAUUGUAGUUUUCAUUGGAUGUUGCAUGUCAUCGAUCUUCGAGAGAACUGUGUUUAUGUUUUGGACUCUCUUCAAAGUAAAGUUAACGAAGACAUCCAUGGAGUCA